rnacentral:rRNA from 1 species
UACAGAGGGUGCGAGCGUUGUCCGGAAUCAUUGGGCGUAAAGGGCGCGUAGGUGGCCACUUCAAGCGUGCGGUGAAAGUCGGGGGCUCAACCCCUGAUCGGCCGUGCGAACUGGGGGGCUGGAGCACUGUAGAGGCAGGCGGAAUUCCGGGUGUAGCGGUGGAAUGCGUAGAGAGUCCGGAAGAACACCGGUGGCGAAGGCGGCCUGCUGGGCAGUUUUGCUGACACUGAGGCGCGACAGCGUGGGGAGCAACAGG